UACAGAGGGUGCGAGCGUUAAUCGGAGUUACUGGGCGUAAAGGGCGCGUAGGUGGGAUAAUAAGUUGGAUGUGAAACCCCUGGGCUUAACCUGGGAAAGUCAUUCAAGACUGUAAUUCUAGAGUGCGGUAGAGGGUAGUGGAAUUUCCGGUGUAGCGGUGAAAUGCGUAGAGAUCGGAAGGAACAUCAGUGGCGAAGGCGGCUACCUGGACUGACACUGACACUGAGGCGCGAAAGCGUGGGGAGCGAACAGG
rnacentral:rRNA from 1 species